rnacentral:rRNA from 1 species
GAUAAACGCUGGCGGCGUGCCUAAUACAUGCAAGUCGAGCGAACGGACGAGAAGCUUGCUUCUCUGAUGUUAGCGGCGGACGGGUGAGUAACACGUGGAUAACCUACCUAUAAGACUGGGAUAACUUCGGGAAACCGGAGCUAAUACCGGAUAAUAUUUUGAACCGCAUGGUUCAAAAGUGAAAGACGGUCUUGCUGUCACUUAUAGAUGGAUCCGCGCUGCAUUAGCUAGUUGGUAAGGUAACGGCUUACCAAGGCAACGAUGCAUAGCCGACCUGAGAGGGUGAUCGGCCACACUGGAACUGAGACACGGUCCAGACUCCUACGGGAGGCAGCAGUAGGGAAUCUUCCGCAAUGGGCGAAAGCCUGACGGAGCAACGCCGCGUGAGUGAUGAAGGUCUUCGGAUCGUAAAACUCUGUUAUUAGGGAAGAACAUAUGUGUAAGUAACUGUGCACAUCUUGACGGUACCCUAUCAGAAAGCCACGGCUAACUACGUGCCAGCAGCCGCGGUAAUACGUANGUGGCAAGCGUUAUCCGGAAUUUUAUGGCGUAAAGCGCGCGUAGGCGGUUUUUUAGUCUGAUGUGAAAGCCCACGGCUCAACCGUGGAGGGUCAUUGGAAACUGGAAAACUUGAGUGCAGAAGAGGAAAGUGGAAUUCCAUGUGUAGCGGUGAAAUGCGCAGAGAUAUGGAGGAACACCAGUGGCGAAGGCGACUUUCUGGUCUGUAACUGACGCUGAUGUGCGAAAGCGUGGGGAUCAAACAGGAUUAGAUACCCUGGUAGUCCACGCCGUAAACGAUGAGUGCUAAGUGUUAGGGGGUUUCCGCCCCUUAGUGCUGCAGCUAACGCAUUAAGCACUCCGCCUGGGGAGUACGACCGCAAGGUUGAAACUCAAAGGAAUUGACGGGGACCCGCACAAGCGGUGGAGCAUGUGGUUUAAUUCGAAGCAACGCGAAGAACCUUACCAAAUCUUGACAUCCUUUGACAACUCUAGAGAUAGAGCCUUCCCCUUCGGGGGACAAAGUGACAGGUGGUGCAUGGUUGUCGUCAGCUCGUGUCGUGAGAUGUUGGGUUAAGUCCCGCAACGAGCGCAACCCUUAAGCUUAGUUGCCAUCAUUAAGUUGGGCACUCUAAGUUGACUGCCGGUGACAAACCGGAGGAAGGUGGGGAUGACGUCAAAUCAUCAUGCCCCUUAUGAUUUGGGCUACACACGUGCUACAAUGGACAAUACAAAGGGCAGCGAAACCGCGAGGUCAAGCAAAUCCCAUAAAGUUGUUCUCAGUUCGGAUUGUAGUCUGCAACUCGACUACAUGAAGCUGGAAUCGCUAGUAAUCGUAGAUCAGCAUGCUACGGUGAAUACGUUCCCGGGUCU